UACGUAGGGUGCGAGCGUUAAUCGGAAUUACUGGGCGUAAAGCGUGCGCAGGCGGUUCGUUGUGUCGGCGGUGAAAGCCCCGGGCUUAACCUGGGAAUGGCCGUUGAAACUGGCGAACUGGAGUGUGGCAGAGGGGGGUGGAAUUCCGCGUGUAGCAGUGAAAUGCGUAGAGAUGUGGAGGAACACCAAUGGCGAAGGCAGCCCCCUGGGUCGAUACUGACGCUCAUGCACGAAAGCGUGGGGAGCAAACAGG
rnacentral:rRNA from 1 species